GACGAACGCUGGCGGCGUGCUUAACACAUGCAAGUCGAACGGAAAGGCCCUGCUUUUGUGGGGUGCUCGAGUGGCGAACGGGUGAGUAACACGUGAGUAACCUGCCCUUGACUUUGGGAUAACUUCAGGAAACUGGGGCUAAUACCGGAUAGGAGCUCCUGCUGCAUGGUGGGGGUUGGAAAGUUUCGGCGGUUGGGGAUGGACUCGCGGCUUAUCAGCUUGUUGGUGGGGUAGUGGCUUACCAAGGCUUUGACGGGUAGCCGGCCUGAGAGGGUGACCGGGGUCCAGGCGACUGAGGUAGGGACCAGACUGCAACGGGAGGCAGCAGUGGAGAACAUUACAGAGUGGGCGGAAGCCUGAGACGACAACCCCGCGUGCGGGAUGACGGCCUACGGGUGGUGAACCGCUUUCGCCUGUGACAAAGCGGGAGUGACGGUAAUGGGUAAGAAAGCACCGGCUAACUACGUG
rnacentral:rRNA from 1 species